rnacentral:rRNA from 1 species
AUUGAACGCUGGCGGCAGGCCUAACACAUGCAAGUCGAACGAGUGGCGGACGGGUGAGUAAUGUCUGGGAAACUGCCCGAUGGAGGGGGAUAACUACUGGAAACGGUAGCUAAUACCGCAUACCAUCGGAUGUGCCCAGAUGGGAUUAGCUUGUAGGUGAGGUAACGGCUCACCUAGGCGACGAGCCCUAGCUGGUCUGCGAGGAUGACCAGCCAAGCUGGAACGGAGACCCGGUCCAGACGCCUACGGGAGGCAGCUGUGGGGAAUAUUGCACAAUGGGCGCAAGCCUUAUGCAUCCAUGCCGCGUGUAUGAAGAAGGCCUUCGUGUUGUAAAGUACUUUCAGCGGGGAGGCGUUACCCGCAGAAGAAGCACCGGCUAACUCCGGGCCAGCAGCCGCGGUAAUUC